rnacentral:misc_RNA from 1 species
AGGUAUGAGUCGAAGAACGACCGUUGUGAGAUAGAAUCCGCACGCCUUUUCGAUUUGGCUCUGUUUGCGCGCACCUCUCCUUCACUGCUCCUUCACGUUGACACCCACUGUUGUCGGUGGCCAGGGACGUCUUUCUCGUUUGUUUUGUUGUCUGUGUCAGCGCUGUUGCUGCGUCGCCAGGCGCUCACGCUGACCCUCUACGUCGUUCCGUGAAGACCGCUUGUCCGCCAACUGCACUGGGCGUUGUUCCAGCGUCGAAGGUAAGCAUCUUCGUAGCGACAAUAAGCAUCGCAGGCAAGCUCUGAAAUUAGUGGAGCGUUGCCGUCCCUCUUGCCAGAGAGAAGCUCUGCUCUAACGUCUCGUGCUACUCUCACAGUGGUGCGACGCAGAUAUACGCAAACGCCAUUGAGAAACGGCUCUGCCAAAAGGCAAGAAGCAGCAGUAGCCACACAGCAAAAAGAGAACAACGAAUAACGCGCUUUCUUAUCGCGAUCGUGGCACUUGCACAGCGCACGCCCACGAGUAGUGCAAAUACGUUCCCCUCCUCCCCCAAAACACAAAGACGAACACAAACACCGACAGAAAAGGAAAGAGCAAAAAAAAAGAAACGCGAGGAGGAGGACCUGGAUAUUGAAAGGAAGGCGCUCUAUACUAACGCACCCCGUGCCUGCGCCGUUCUUGCCUCUUGUCGUCUUCUCUCUCUUUGGCGUUUUCCGUUUGUCCCCCUCGCGUGUCAGCGGCUCCUCCGCGUGUGUCUACUCGCCCCAUCUUUUUCUUGUUUUUCUUUUUUUUUUCGCUUCAAUCUUGCCCUCUCUUUCGUGUCUCUCUCUUGCGCUCUGUACCGUGCCUGAAGGUGACUGCCUCUCUCUGCCUGUGUUUCUACGCCCCUCUCCCUCCCACCUUGGAAAUACGUGCUUGUUCGUCGUCGUACUGGUGUAGUUUGUAUGCGCGCUCUGUAGAUUUUCUUUCUUCCUCGUUCUCGUCGUCAUCUGCCGUGCCACGAAGUCUCACUGUGGUUCGGCACCCCCCCCCACACACACACACAUCAAAAAAAACAGAACAGUAAAGGUGCAUGGAAACUAUGGCCACCACCGUGUCUCCCAGCGCUCUCUGCCUCCCGGGAGGCUUGCAGACCCUCUCAGCGUCCUGCUACCGUCAUAACCCUUACGCGCUCACUCUUCUCCAGGAGAAGGACCGCGAGAGAGCCGUCGAGUCGUUUGGCUACAUCUACAGUGUCCUGACAGACGAGGGCAGGGCCUUGCCCUCCCCGCCACAGCAGCGAAAGAAGGCGAGAAGGGGCGUUACCGGGAACAAAGGCAGCAGCAAAUAUGACUCCAGCUGCCGUGACCCUGAGAUGCAGCAGCUAGACUCGUUGUUCACAAAGAGCGGUGCCGCGGCAGAUAGCAGCAACGAUGAUGGCGUGAGCGAGACGAGUAGCGACUGUGGCAGCCACUACGCAAAGGAAGUGCUCGCGACGUACCCCCCUGGGUUUUCUGUCACCAGCUCGCAGUUGCACCCCGGCACCAGCUCUGCCACCGCUGCCGUCCCAGCUGCCGUACAGUCCGUCAUCCGCUACGCCUCGGUGAACUUCCGCUUCGGCUCCGCCUGGUUCGUCGCUCCGUUCCGCACGUUCACGGGUGACAUGGUCGUGGUCCAGUACCCGGGCAACAACAGUUUGCACAUGGGCCUCGUUAGCGCUAUCACCACCGCCAAGCCCAUCACCUUCUACACAGAGGACAACAUGGAUCCAAACUACCUUUCUCCCGAGGAGCUGCAGACGGUGCCUCGCUUGCUUCGCCACGCGCGCGACUUCGACAAGGAGACGAAGCUGGACCUCCGCAGACACGACUUGAGCUCACUUGCGAACGCUCGGAAGCUCGCGGCGGAGAUUGGUGCCCCUGUCCAGUUCCUUGAUGCAGAGUGGUUGCUCGACCUGAGCGCCGUGACGUUCCUCGUGAAGGUGUUUGGUAACACGGCCCUCGCGGAUAAGCUUGUGGACGAGCUGGCGAUGCAGGAGGGAGCCGAGGUCGUCUUUACGUACCCGGUUUCGUCGGCGACGAUGUACUAAUAGAACGUUUUCGGCCGGAGAAGAAAAGUGAACCCUGAGGAACACACGGAAAGAUAUGCGUGCAGCGGUUAAAAAGAAAAGCACUGCGAACAGCGCCGGGCCAGAUGGGGUUGGUGGCGGUGUGCCGGUUGAACACUGCCGUCUCCUCCCUAGCGGACUGCGCCCCAUUUGCUGCGCGCGUGCGCGUAUGCGGACCCCCACCCCCACCCCGCGUUUCUUGCACGUGUCUUUCCAGUCACUGUGGCUGUUUUGCCUCACUUGCGCCUUUGCUGUCGUCUUUGUUAGAACUCCACCGCGCGUGCGAGAAAAAGUUACGACACAUGCGGUGACCGCCCCUCGCACACCGCGACGUGCGCAAUAAGCGUACACCACGGACGUUUGUUUUUGUUUUCUCGGUCUCUCCUCUGGUGGAUCCGUAACGUGUCGACUGAUGGUGUGCUGCUUAGUGAAUGCUUGCUUUGUGUACGAGUAUGUAUAUAUAUAUGGGUGUGGGUGUUUCUUAGCUGUGCCUUUUUUUCACGACAGAUGGCGCUUUAUGGUACACACACACACCUCGAGAACUGUGGCAAGCGUAAGAAGCAAUAACGUCACUCGCCGCCUCAGUCGUUGCCGCGUUCCGUGCAAUUUUAGACCCCUCGCUACCAACCGAGACGGUCUUAUAAAGCAGGAACUGUGUGCAGGCGUGCACUCUUGCGACGACGUGCUAGAGGAUGGGCACAUUAUAGAUGUAUAUAGAGCAGGAAAAGAAUCAAGAUCGUCUGUGUGCGGUUGGCGUGUCGUGAGGGUCUUACUCUACGCUUUUUUUUUUCGAUGCUUCCCUCCCCUCCCUUCCCCCAGCCACAUCGCCGCCCUCACUUGCUACCUCCCCUCUUGCCCUAGGUUUUGGUCACUGUCAACCGUAUACGUGUUGAAUUUUUUCUUUUUUUUGCUUUCAGUGAGUGCGUGUUUGUGGUGGGGAUUGAGUGUCGAGAUGGCGCUCCAGCGAGACUUUGAAUGCAUCGCUCCGUCAUGCCCGCCCCCUCGAGGAAGGAGGAGUAGCCGGAACCCCUGCAGGUGUCCCCAUAAACUCACACGCGGACGUAGGUGUCUACUAGCUUAUGAAUGCACCAAUUAUGUAUGUAUCUCUCUCUCUCUUUGUGUGUGUGGGAGUGUGUGGAAAUUGUUUGUUUUGUCGCUUUCUCACUGCUCCCCUUCCACCUACCUCAAUCUACCCUCGCUCUCAGAGACUCGUCCUCGGCGUCUCCGUUCACGUUUCUCUUCCUUCUCCAUUUCUUGUUUUCUGUGCUUUUAAUAGAGCAAACACUGAAGCAGCUAGGUUUCUAUAACUCUUCCCCCCUCCUCUUUACAUUUUUUUUCGUUUCCCUUUCACACGCAUACAUUCGCAAACAUGCACUUGCGACUCUUACGGCUUUUUGUUUUGCGCGUUCCCCCUUGCCCCCCCCCUCGAAACGAAGCAUCGCUCUCUUGGCUUUCAUUCCUCCUCUAUAACAAGCAUGCCCACUUCUUAAAGUAUGAUCGUUUAUCGCCACCCCUACCUGCGACUAUUUCCGUCUCUGUCUUCAAUCUUGUCAUGUGGAAGCGCUCACAGGUGUGACCCCAAGUUUCCAGAAACUCCACCUCCCAUAAAUUGCUAACACGAGGUACGGGCUACACAGGGACGUCUUCGAGGGACUCGGGUUGCUUCCGGAGACGGCGAUUGUGGAUGUGCGUAUACUGCUAUGAGGAAUGAGUGCCACCGAUGGCGGUUGCUUCGUUGCGAGUCGGAGAACGAGUCGAAUGCGUUUGCGUCUCUGUUUGCGUGUGUUCGUGUGUUUGUCUGCCGUGUGCGCGUUAUUUCAUUGAUGUUCUCCGGCUGAACAUCCCCGAUGUCUCAACUUUCGCAGUGAUCUCUGUUCCGCACCGACCUGUUCACUUUUCAUAUUUUUUUUCUCGGCUUCUUAGAACUCUUUCACUUCUUUUUGUUUCUUGCGCUUCUAACUUGAUUGCGGAGACUCUCUCUCUCUAACACUCUUUCGCUUGUACCGGCCCGCUUUUGCUUGCAAGAGGGAGAGAACAGCGGCAAAAUAAGAAGAGCAGUGGAAAGGCCCAGGCGAAGGGGGAUGCACAUCUGCAUUCGACACUGAUAACGCAACUUCAAAACCAAGGGAAGUGAGCGAAAAGAUGGCGGCUACGUGCCUACGUGGUCCAUCGGAGUGAUGUGAGUAGGAAUAGUUGGCAUGGUACCCUGCAAAGUGUCCCGCAUAACGCGUUGAUGUUAGUGUGCGAUGGCCAACAAUAAAGCUGCCGCUCCCUCCGCUCCUGAAUAUCGUCUACGUUCUCCUGUGAACACAAGGGAUUGCCCACGGAUCCUGUCAUUUGAUUUCUUCGCCUUGUCUCGUUCUCCAUGGUCUCUGUGGUGAUGUGGUCACAUCCGCUCUCUCUCCUCCUAAGGUGCCCUCCCCCUCUUUCCUGAUUGCCUUCAUCCCCUCCCUCAUCUCCCUCCCUGCACAUGUUAUUAUGCUUACCGAUGAGGUCAUCAUGAUAGAUUUUGUAUGUGGUUUCUCUCGCUUUUGUUUAGUCUUUCUUUGCUCUUGGUUAGCGUUGGCCCUACACGCUCUGCUCACCUCUUCUGUUGUUUGCGUUUCGUUUGUUGAGCCAUCCUUGUUCCCUGCCACCCUUUUUCCUUUUCCUCCCUUCUCCUCCUCGUUUUUCUUUUUUCCUUUCCUUUUAUGCUUUCCUUCAAAAUGCUGCUCUCUACUCUCCCUUUCUCUCUGAUACAUCUGACCAUCCAAAAUCUUGAUACCCUGAGAGGGUACGUACGUAUAUGUGUAUGCGUACAUGUGCAUGUACGUGUGUGUGUGUUUUCUGUUUGCAUCUGCGUGUCCUCCUAAAAUACACAAAAUCACCAUCUGUCUUGUUUUCCCUUUCGCGCGCAUGUUCUUUUUGGUUUGUUUGUUUUCCUCUGCCACUUCUCCCCUCCCCCAUUCUCCCCCCUCUCCCGCACACUGUGCGUGUAUCUCUUCCUUGCCGUUGUUUCUUUUUUGCUCCAGUUUCCUUUCUUUAGUUCCCCUACACCCCUGUGCUUUUCUUCGUGCUUGAUUCGAUAUCUCCCCCCCCCUCCCUCACGCCGGCUGCUUUUGUUUGUUUUCUGUCGUUUUACGCCCGCACCUCACGUAGCUUGCGUAAAUCGUCAACAGCAGCGGCGGUGGCACUCGCUUCAUGGAUCACGGACCUGUUAACAGGUCGCCGACGCCAGGCCGACAUCCUCCGCAAUGUCGCUACGAGGUGCAACACGAAAACCACAGGCGCUCCUUGGACGGCGGCCGCCCUGCACCAGAAGGGAAAGUAUGUUGUGAUCACGAGAUGCUGUGAGUUUAUCCUCGCCUAGCUGCCCACGGGCACCUGCCCGCACUUGGGAUUGCUGCAGCGACAAGAUGGCGUGCAGAUGGUGUGCCGCCCACUGACUCUUCUAGCGCUGUGGCGCCCCCACCCCCGCCAGCGCUUCUGACCCGCCUGCUUUUUCGGUGAGGGCGGCCGAUCCGGAGCUGCGUCCGGUAUGCGAUGCGAGAGUCGCGGAUUGCUCGAGGCUCGAGGCGCACCUUGUUUCACGCUACGAUGCUGCGCGCACCGGUGUGAUGAUGAACAUGCCAGUUGCGCCGCAUGGCCUUUCCGCGCCGUAUGUGUGUGUGUGUGUGUUGCUGCCUCCACCCCUCCCCCCCCCCGUGCCCGUCGGAAGGACACGCUGUGAGCUCUCUGUGCGCGGGGGCAUGUCUGUCGGUGGGUCCCCUCCGCUUGAAACGCCCACGCCUGUGAAUGGCGCGCGGCCUCAGGGGAAGUUGGAGGUGACUGUGCUGUCGCAGACUCGUGGCAUCGCUCGACCUGUCGCGGCGCAUGCGAUGAAGCCACGCGUCCGCCAGGAGAGCAAGAGUGACGGACCGAAAAGAGCGCGAAGGGCACCAUACGAAUCGGCGCCAGGGUGCGUGUGCGCGCAGAGCAUGCGGGGCGUCCCGUGAAUCCGACCCGGGGGGGGCUGAUAUGAGGGCACGGGUGCCGGAAGCGUGGCGGCAGCGCCCCGAGCUCGAACCAUACUGCGAUGGAGACUGAAAUGGGAAAAGCUUCCACACCAGAUUACGGAACUCCGCGGCGUGAAGCGACUGAGGGCGGAAGGCGACACAGAGGCCGGCUGUGCAGGGUCUCAGAGGACCCGGACCGGAAGCUGGCCUGGCUCCUCCCUGAGCACAUCCGGCGUGCACCUGAACCACCCCUUACUACCCGGCCCCGCAGGCGCCACGGCGUCUUCCGUCGAGCAGCACCCUUCGCCGAAGCCCGCUUGAAUCAAGUCAUGCAGCCCGCAGCCGAGUCCGUGUGGCGACAGCCGCGCGGCACUUAUGCUAGGAGGGGACGAGUAAGAGCGAGAAGAGCCCGCGGGACGCGUGGCCCGAGCCAGCGGCAGACGGUUUCGCCCUAGUCGACCAGGAUUGAGCGGCGGCUUAGCAGCGGAUAGAGAGCUGUGGGUGCGCAUGCGUACAUACGUCUCGCUGGCGUGUUCGGGGGAGAGGGCUGGAAGUGGGCAGGUUGAUGAUGGACAAUAAAAGGAGAGAAGAAAAAGGGUACUUCCCCAAACGUACCUUACAAAAAUACUUAGAGAAGAAAGGGCCGAGUGUCGUUCAGAGAUGCACCGAUAUUCGAGUAUAUCGGAAAAAAGGAAGAAGAACGGGCGACCAUAUCGCUGAUAGCAAGGGGACGACGCACACACGCGCGCAUCUUUAGCCGAGGAACAAAAAAGAAGCGGAAACGUUGACGAAAAAGAGGCAUUUUUUUUGGUUCGGUAUAACCGAGAUGGACCAAGGCUUAGAGCUCUUUUGAAGGUUUCGUCCGGCCUCCCUUUUCGAUGAGAUGCGCUGCUUUCUCUUGAUGCUUCCUCAGGAAUGCAGCAAGCAACUGAUGCCUCUUUUUGCCAUCGUCUUUUUUUUCCAGACGUUGGCGGGAUGGGCAUGUUCUCACCAGAUUCAGGAAUGCUGGGCGUGUGAAACAGCGAGGUCCAACGCACGCGCACACGGGCUGAUCGAUGCACACAACAGGAGCCACUUUGCGCACUGGCACACCCAGUGUGCCUAAAUUGAUGCUUGCCAACAAAGAAAGGGAAGAAGAGCGGAGAGGGAAUAGCCGAGAUGCCUCCCUUUCACCCCAGCCCCUGCCUGUGCGCAUGCAUGCACUCGGCCUCACACUCAAACACAGUGGUUAUCACCUCUGACGUGUGAGCGAGAGGUUGGGGCGGGAGGGUGGUUGGGCAUGAGGUCGGUCGGUGUCUCUGGACGCUUGGCACUUGGCCACCAUGUAUGUCAUGUCUGCAGGAUGUGUGCGUGUUUGCGUGUGUGGCCUUCGCCUUUUUUCCCUGGCUUAGAUGCGUUGAUCUCCACCUCUACCUCCAUUACACGCGGAUAAAAGUGUGUUUCGAGGAGUGUGUGUGUGUGGGGGGGGGUGAAGGCAACUCUGGAAAAAGAACAAGGUCAGGUAAAUCAAGAAAACUGAUACACUGGUGAGUAGUGUUUUUUUGUUGUGCUUGUUGGCUUUGUAAAACAUGAUUGACGUUACCCCCCCCUCUCCUCAACCUCGUCUCUCGGCUUCAUUCAGCGGCGUAUGGGCGGCCUCGAGUCGGAUGUGAUGCGCAUGUGCUUCUUGUCUCUCCUCCCAUACGCGCAGCUUUCCUGGAAGGCACUGGGAGGGGUCUUUCUGUGCCAUUUGUUGCUCUUUUUCUUUCUACGCCCGUCUUUGCCGAUGGCGCCUACGGUAUAUGCAUUUUGGAUGCUGAGCAUGAAACCUUUUUUAUCGCUUUCUGUCUCUUCUGUUUCCGCCCUUGGAUUGUUUUCUCGUUCUUCUCACUUCUUUUCCGUAAUUUCUGGUUGCUCUUUGGUCUGAUGGAAAAAAAAGCAGAAGGACUCUGCGAGGCGUAUCUGAUUGUCUGCUUCGCCAACGUUCGCAUGCCUCUCUGCCUGCCGAUCCCCCUCCCUCUCUCUCUUGUGAGCGUGUUAUGACAUUCUUCGUCGGCACGUGAGAGCAUCCAUCCCCUGUGUCAGGUUGACCUUUGUCGUGCAUGCGAUGGAGGAGCGGGAGACAUAAACACAGACACACAGAGAGGAAAAUGUGGCCAUAGCGUGGAGGUGCUGUGUGUGUGUGUGUUUGCUAUGCUUGCACGCGUUUCUUUUUUUAUUGUUGUUCUUUCAGCCGUGGGUGUGCAUGCGUUUCGCUUUGCGGUAGAUGACGCACGUGCGUCCGUUGCUGUUGUUGUGUGGGUGACGUGGCAGGCGAUGCCAUGUGAUAGUUACCCUUUUGUGAGCAUGAUUAUUAUUAUUUUCUUUUUGUGCGCCUCUGUCUGUGUUCCUCUGUGUGUGCGCCCUUUUUGGUUUUGCGUUUCUCGCGUGCUCUUGCGCUUCUACGCAUCCUACGAGUAUCUGUAUCUAUAUAUGUAUUGUGUGUGUGUGUUUCUUCCGUUUUAUGGUUAUGAUUUGCGCGCCCCGUGCUCUGUGCUCGGUUUUUUCAUGUCUUCCUAAGAUUACAUGUGUGUGUGUGUGUGUUUACGCCUGUCGCAUGCCGGUUUGGCUUUGUGGUGUGCGUGGUCUCCACUUCGAUGAUGGGCACAAAAAAAGGGGGCUCUCCUCGACCCAUUUUUCCACGAAGGGGAUGGCACGACCAGAGACCGCGAGACAGGCAUGCGUGCGCAAACAUACCAAGGAAGACAUACUAGCAUCUAUCCAUAACGUUUUGGCCUGUUGCAGCAGAAGCCCCAGCACGGGCAAAGGAGGAGGGAUCAAUGCCAAAAAGAAAACAUCAGCAGACAGUCAAUCAUGUAUAGUGCAGCAGAAAUAGCAAGCGAGGGAGAAUUCAGAUCCCUGUGUGUGUGCAUGUGUGCGCGUGAGCACUUCUGUUACGGUAUGCGUUUGUGAGCCUCUUUUUUCUGCGUAGCUCAAAAUGUAAAAAAAAAAGAAGAUAAAAGCUUACCGAAACCACAAAAAAAAGAAACGGCGCGCGGGGUCAUAGUAAUCUAUCCUCGCUAUAUUCCUCGACCGCAUCUCGAGCAGCACGACUUCCGACUUGCUCCGGGGAUGCGCUUCGGUUACAGACGAGUGCCCAGCCAAGCCACUACCCUGCUCUUUCGCUUCUUUCCACUUGUAAGGUUAGUAGACGAAGAGCCCGGAAAAAAGAGAAUACGAAAUUUCGAUUAGUAGUCCGUUUCACGUUCUUUUUUGUUUGGCUUCGUCCCUGUCGUGCUGAUUGCGCGUUUCACUGGAUUCUGGGGAAUGCGCGGAGAGAGGGGGACGAAAAUGCACUCAACACGACACAUAUGCAGAAACGGAGAGACUGAGCGCCGGCUGUGUGGAUACGACGAAAGAAGGAAAGAUAGAUCUGCGUUUCGGAUGAAUCGAGGGCACACGCGUGCUUUCGCAGCGCCUCCUACGUGCACCACACCAUUCCGCGUCUCCAUUAAGUAAGUUCGUGGCACGCUCUUUCGUCGUUGUCGUCUUGCUGCUCCUGCGCCCGUCGAAACCACAGCAACGUAUAUUUUGUUUCCCUUCAACUCUGCGUAUGCACAUGUGUGAGCCGACUCUACCUCUCCGCCUUUGUGAUGCCUGCGCGUAUGCGUCUUGGAUGACAUGUUUUUGUGCGUCGCUGUCUCAUGUUGUCUAUUUACUUCCCUCCCUGUCCCUGCACACUUUUUCUUUUCUGUGUUUUUUGCGUCUAUUGUUUAACGAGGAUUACGCCUUUGAUCGCUUUUUAUUUGCCUGUUUUGGUUCCUCUUUCCCUUGUGUGUUUCUCUGGUUUUUCGUAUGUUUUCUUUCCCCUUCGCCUUUCAUCCUCAUUCGCGCUUGGACCCUCCCCCUCCGUCCCUUCCCUCCCUCGUUUUGUGUUUCUGUUGUGUCUCCGUCAUCAUCAUCGCCUGAUAGUGCGCUCUUCAGUCGAGUGUAUGAGGCGAAUGCCCGGCAAGAAUGAACCACCACCGACAGCG